GAAGAGACCACCAUGCCCCAUUAUCCAUCAACAGGACUCAGGUGGAGAGGGUGAAGACCUUCAGACUCCUCGACACUCACAUCAGUGAAGCCAUCUAUACAGAUCUCUACAACACAGUGCAGAUCAUCAAGAAGGCUCCACAGAGACUGUUCUUCCUAAGGAAGCUGAGGCAAUCUGGAUUACCCUCCAAGCUCCUCAGCAGCUCUUACAGAUGCACAGUGUAAAACUCCGUCACAGUGUGGUACGGGACCUGCACUACCCAGGACAGGAAGUGCUGCAGUUCAUCUGUGGAGUUGCCUUCCCAUCACUACAGGACACCUAUAAUACCCAGGCGGUGCAGGUGUAGGUGCCUGUGUUUCCGUCUGUGGGGUAUUUCAGGGUCAGACUGAAGUCUCCAGUGUUCAGCAGGUCUUCGUCCAUCUUUGUUCGGUCUUUGUAAAUCCGGUGCUGUUCUCCAUGCUGGCCCUUCUGAUGCACAUGGACCGUCACAUUGCGGUGCAGGUGUAGGUGUCACUGUCUGUGGGGUGUUUCAAGGUCAGACUGAGGUCUCCAGUUUUCAGCAUGAAGUUCCUCUUCAUCUCUGUUCGUCCUCUGUAAAAGUCGUCCUGUUCUCCAGGCUGGUCAGAGC